UGUGCCCUUUGAAAAGAGGGUGGUUGGUGCCCUGCAGAGCCAGAGCCCUUCACUGGGGGAGUAUCUAGGACACGCUGCUCCAGUUUUUAGGAUAAGGGGAAGUUUGCCCCUUGAUGUUGGAGCUGGUUUGAGUGUUUAGAUGUAAACCAGCGAUGCAAGCCCAAGUCUUCUAGAUCUACUGGAGAGCUGCAGAUGCUGAGACCCCUGCUGAUGUUGGAGGUCCAUGAGCAAGUCUAGUGGUUCUCCCUCCCUUUUCCCUUGGCAAGAUGCACCCAAAGCUCCCUGAUCCAUGGAGGACGUUUGUGGGGGCUGCUGGUGGCAGUGUGAGGGCUCGCCAGGUGCCAGUGAGAGCUGGAGUCAGCCGGACAAGCGUGGGCAACCUGCGGCUGCUCCCGUGUCGCUGGAAGGACCCAGAGCAGCAAGCAACAUCCCCGGGAUCAGCACAUCGCUCCCUGCCAGCCUUUUCUCAUCUGGGAGCAGGGCCCAUCUUUUUCUUCCUGCAAUUAGCUCAAUUAAAUGUAGGGAGACACAAAAUCCAUGGUUUUGCCUCUUAAAAGUUACCUCUUUGCCAGACUUUCAUUCUGCAAGCUUCUAUUUUUCCUGUCUGCCCUGUGGGACCUUUUUCAGCAGACUUUUGUAAUGUGUAAGCUGUUCUCUGACUUGCUGGUAAACGAUUUCAUUUUUUUCACUCUCAAAUUUUAUGAAAUUAAAAUUUUUGUUCUCAUUUCAGACCAUAAAAGUGUAAAAGACCGCUUUGAAACUGUACCCUUUUUGGCAGAUUUGCAUUAAAUUAUGUCCAAUUGCUAUUAGGUUAAAACUGAAAUACUCUGACUUCAUGUGUGAAUUAGGCUCGAGGUUUAGGAAAUGUAGAGUGGCAGGAGGUGAUGGCAAAAGUUGUUGGAGUAAUUCCAUGCUAUAUAUUUAAAAUUAAAUAUUUUGUGAGCGUGUGGAUUCUAUAGCUUGAUCAAAACUGUACAUUAUUCCCUGUGAAUGGCGAGUUAGUGUUAAUAUUU